CGAAUGGGCGAAAGCCUGAUCCAGCAACGCCGCGUGAGGGAUGACGGCCUUCGGGUUGUAAACCUCUUUCAGCAGGGACGAAGCGCAAGUGACGGUACCUGCAGAAGAAGCACCGGCCAACUACGUGCCAGCAGCCGCGGUAAUACGUAGGGUGCGAGCGUUGUCCGGAAUUAUUGGGCGUAAAGGGCUCGUAGGCGGUUUGUCGCGUCGGGAGUGAAAACUCAGGGCUUAACCCUGAGCCUGCUUCCGAUACGGGCAGACUAGAGGUAUGCAGGGGAGAACGGAAUUCCUGGUGUAGCGGUGAAAUGCGCAGAUAUCAGGAGGAACACCGGUGGCGAAGGCGGUUCUCUGGGCAUUACCUGACGCUGAGGAGCGAAAGUGUGGGGAGCGAACAGGAUUAGAUACCCUGGUAGUCCACGCCGUAAACGAUGAGAACUAGGUGUCGUGGGUGUUGACCCCCGCGGUGCCGUAGCUAACGCAUUAAGUUCUCCGCCUGGGAAGUACGGUCGCAAGACUA
rnacentral:rRNA from 1 species